rnacentral:rRNA from 1 species
UACAGAGGGUGCAAGCGUUAAUCGGAAUUAUUGGGCGUAAAGCGUGCGCAGGCGGUUUUGUAAGACAGAUGUGAAAUCCCCGGGCUUAACCUGGGAACUGCGUUUGUGACUGCAAGACUCGAGUGUGGCAGAGGGGGGUGGAAUUCCACGUGUAGCAGUGAAAUGCGUAGAGAUGUGGAGGAACACCGAUGGCGAAGGCAGCCCCCUGGGUCAACACUGACGCUCAUGCACGAAAGCGUGGGUAGCAAACAGG